AUGAUUUAAUAUGGCGUCGACUCGUUUGCGCGGGAAGUGAGUGCGCUUCGUCUCGCGUUAAUUAUCCGAUUUACGCGUCGCGUUUAUAACAAAGCGCCGAGAUCUCGGUUAUCGUAUGGUGGGGAUUGGCGACGUACGUGCAAGUUCGAGCCUCCUCUUUCCCCCAUUAUACCGCUCCCUAACCUACUACUUGGCUGUACGCAGGCACCGUUUGUUGCGUUUAUAAUAAAAAGCGGAAGUGUAUAAAGUGACGGACGAUUAUCGCGUUAAUUAAUCGUAGUUUCGGUUCGCGAGGAAACAUGCGGAAUCGGUCAGCGACAAAGAAUUGCGGUGCGUCGACUGCGGGAUGUUCUUCUUUUCUCUUUGCAGAUCGUUUCAAGAAACAGUGUUUUUCACGCGAGGAUCUGCAUAUAUAAAGUGAUUAGUCGCAGUUUCCCUAUCGGUUCGUGUGUUCACGAGAAAAAAUAUAUUCGAAACAAUAUAAAACGGCCAGCGACAAAGAGUUGCGAUGGAUCGACUGGUCGUUCCACGAAAUAGUAUCGUUUUUCACGCGAGGCGGAUCUGCAUAUAAAGUGAUUAGUCGUAGUUUCCCGAUCGUGUAUCCGUGAAAAAACAUUCGGAACGAUAAAACGACUAGCGACAGAGUUGUGAUGGAUCGACUGGUCGGUUUCACGCGAAGCGGAUCCGCAUCCGUAAAGUAAUGCGUGCAUCGGCAGGAUCUAUUUCGCAGGAUUAAGAAUAAGAAACGCAGAAAGCGGCAUCGCGCAUUUGCAUUUCCAUAUAUGGCGAAUCGAAGAAAGGGCGUCUUUUGCGGUCAUUUUUCUUGUUGGCUCGUCGAUUCGUAUCCGUGAAUUUAUUGCUUCGGCCAUGAGACGUGCGCGGACCAGACUUUUGAUCCGCGAUUCGCCACGCUUCGAAGAAACCUCUUCGGGAUGGCGCCUUGUCCGUCAGUUUCUCUCAUCCUGAGGUGGAGACAUUUGGCGAUACACAUCGAUUACCCGUCGUUUCUGCAAGUUCUAGCGAGUGCAAUUCCGCCUCUUUAAUAAUAUUGUGCAAUAUGCGCGAAAUAUGCGUGCGAUUCGCGUUGGGAGUGCCGUCUAAAGUAUUGCGUAUCGGGAGUGCCGUGUAAAGUGUCGGGCGAUCGUAAUUCGUAUUUUCGCGAGUGUCGUGAGUGCUAAGGACCAAGAAAGGAGGAGGAGGCGGCCCGGGAAGGCAUCGGGCAACAACGGGACAACUGCGAGAUCAAUUUGCUGUAUACUAGAACUUCGCAUUGCACCGAUCGGUAGCGUUGCGGUUUACACGUCGUGUCGGGAGUGCCGUAUAAAAUGUGUCGGGCGAUCGUAAUUAUUCAUGUUUUCACGAGUGUCGUGAGUGCUACGAAUGACCAAGAGAGGAGGAGGAGGUCCGGGGAGGCAUCGGGCAACAACGGGACAACUGCGAGAUCAAUGUGCUGUCUACUGCAGCUUCACGAUUGUCAGCAUCGAUUUUCAGUACGAUCGUGUGAACGCAUUUUCCAUGGACGGGAUCACUUUCUUCCAGUCUCUUAAGAAGAAGCGUCGAGAUGCGGUGAUAGCGAGCUUCGCAUAGCAGCUGUUGCUGCGUAUGAUAGCGUAAGGCAAGGUUUAAUGUACCUCGAAGCCGACGUGAGCGCAUACUUACCUAUCCGCGUUGCUGUUUACUCCCUUCACGAGCGGCAUAUGGCGCACAAUGAUUUUUCCUUGGAGAUAAUUAUGCGAAACCAUCUAUCCGAGUAAAGGACACCGCUUGCGCCUCUUUUCUUCCUUCCUUCUCUUGCGCUACUCUGUUUCACGUAUGGGGACUCUCGUUACUUACGCCGGGAGAAAGUUGCGUCAUAAGCGAGCGUGAAUAUAAUGCGCUCAGAGUAGUUUGAAAAUUGCCCAUCUGCUCUAUUAGUAAGAUACCGUCAGUGCGAAAUUAAAUAAUGUGAAGGAUGUACGAUUUCAAAAUAUGAUCUAAUCAGAAUAUGGAUAACGUUAUUUUUUUCAGUACUUUACACCUAUAGUUAUAAUAAUAUUUCGCGUGGCUCUUUUUUCUCAUUACGUAGACGCACGUAGGGGGACAGACGAGAAGGAAGGACGAGAAAGAGAGAGAGAGAAAGUCUCGUCUGCUAAUUUGAAUAUGAGUUGCGGGGGUGUCGGUAACGGGCAGCUGCACAACUCGCAUAAAACAUAAAACGUCUCUAGAACCAUUUGCUCCUCCAGACGGAGGAACGUGGGUGCGUUCGAGUCAAGCCAAAUAUCUACCUACUCCUUUGAGUACCGAAAGAUCUCCUGCGAACGACGCCCCGAAGACAAAACGCUCGCGUGUCCCGAACAAAUUCUUUGAACUCUGACGAAACUCGUUGGCUUUUCGCUCGUUGAUGCACGAAUUUAUAUUGUAUAUGUAUGUGAGAAAAAAAUAAAAAUUUUUAUUGUUUUAAUAAAUACUUAUUAUAGUUUUAUAUUGUGUACAUAAGUUCCGAUAAUUUAUAAACGAUGGUUUCUCUUAUCUUCCCAUCCCACGCAAUCAUAUCUUAUAAUUGGAUGAAAGUUUUUUUUAAAUGACGCGAACAAUUUCAAGAAUGCGACAAGAGGUGGCGGUCAUUAUGUAUUUAUGAAAAAUUUAUAGCAUCUAUUUUCAUAAAAUAUGGAAUAUAUAUGACAUAUUAAUCGAUUCGAGAAAGUUUGUCUCUCCGUUAACUUUCCAUCAAACCUGUUUGUACAUUAGAAUUCUAAGCAAAUAUUGUAGAGCUUCGAUAUAAUGUAUACGUAGGUGUAAAAUAAACUUGUAAAAAUUUUUAUGAAAUUACAAUGGUAAUGCAUUUUUCUACUUCCAUCAUAUGUCUGUCUGCGUUUCUCCAUUUGCUUUUUAUAUAUUUUUGUUAGAGAUAUUUACAUAAUAACGCAUUUUAUCAUGCCAGUUGAAAUGGGUUACAUUUUAAUACGAAAAAGCUUAUGUUAGAUAUUUUAUUGGAUAUAUAUACGAGAAAUUUUUACACCAUAUAUACAUACACACACACAUAUAGGAUUAGAUUUUAUCUCGUCGAUUAACUAGCACCUUUUUUUAUGCAUCUGCCAUUUUACCAUAAUGUUCAUAUAAUCAGCCACUCAACAGUAUAAACGCUCGCAUGCGUUUUACUUGCGCAACAUCGCUGGAAGAAUUAUUUUUAUCUUUAACGAGACACAACGUCCGUUUAUACGUACGUAAAAAAUAUUCACAGCCUUUGUUAGAUUUAGCUCUAUGCAUAUAAAUAUUUCCAUAACGGACAACAAAGACAAUGUUCAUUAAUAUUGUAAAACCCGUUUGUCGUCACAG